GACGAACGCUGGCGGCGUGCUUAACACAUGCAAGUCGAACGGAAAGGCCCUGCUUUUGUGGGGUGCUCGAGUGGCGAACGGGUGAGUAACACGUGAGUAACCUGCCCUUGACUUUGGGAUAACUUCAGGAAACUGGGGCUAAUACCGGAUAGGAGCUCCUGCUGCAUGGUGGGGGUUGGAAAGUUUUGGCAGUUGGGGAUGGACUCGCGGCUUAUCAGCUUGUUGGUGGGGUAGUGGCUUACCAAGGCUUUGACGGGUAGCCGGCCUGAGAGGGUGACCGGCCACAUUGGGACUGAGAUACGGCCCAGACUCCUACGGGAGGCAGCAGUGGGGAAUAUUGCACAAUGGGCGGAAGCCUGAUGCAGCAACGCCGCGUGCGGGAUGACGGCCUUCGGGUUGUAAACCGCUUUCGCCUGUGACGAAGCGUGAGUGACGGUAAUGGGUAAAGAAGCACCGGCUAACUACGUG
rnacentral:rRNA from 1 species